GACAGAGGGUGCAAGCGUUAAUCGAAAUAACUGGGCGUAAAGAGUACGUAGGCGGAAAGAUAAGUCAUGUGUGAAAAAUCGGGGCUCAACCUCGGGACUGCAUAUGAUACUGUUUUUCUAGAGUUUGGUAGAGGUAAGUGGAAUUUCCGGUGUAGCGGUGAAAUGCAUAGAUACCAUCAGGAACACCGAUAGCGAAGGCAUUGUACUGGCCAACAACUGACGCUGAGGCACGAAAGCACGGGUAGCGAACAGG
rnacentral:rRNA from 1 species